rnacentral:rRNA from 1 species
CAAGUCGAGGGGCAGCAUGACCUAGCAAUAGGUUGAUGGCGACCGGCGCACGGGUGAGUAACACGUAUCCAACCUACCGGUUAUUCCGGGAUAGCCUUUCGAAAGAAAGAUUAAUACCGGAUAGUAUAACGAGAAGGCAUCUUUUUGUUAUUAAAGAAUUUCGAUAACCGAUGGGGAUGCGUUCCAUUAGUUUGUUGGCGGGGUAACGGCCCACCAAGACAUCGAUGGAUAGGGGUUCUGAGAGGAAGGUCCCCCACAUUGGAACUGAGACACGGUCCAAACUCCUACGGGAGGCAGCAGUGAGGAAUAUUGGUCAAUGGACGAGAGUCUGAACCAGCCAAGUAGCGUGAAGGAUGACUGCCCUAUGGGUUGUAAACUUCUUUUAUAUGGGAAUAAAGUGAGCCACGUGUGGCUUUUUGUAUGUACCAUACGAAUAAGGAUCGGCUAACUCCGUGCCAGCAGCCGCGGUAAUACGGAGGAUCCGAGCGUUAUCCGGAUUUAUUGGGUUUAAAGGGAGCGUAGGCGGACUAUUAAGUCAGCUGUGAAAGUUUGCGGCUCAACCGUAAAAUUGCAGUUGAUACUGGUCGUCUUGAGUGCAGUAGAGGUAGGCGGAAUUCGUGGUGUAGCGGUGAAAUGCUUAGAUAUCACGAAGAACUCCGAUUGCGAAGGCAGCUUACUGGACUGUAACUGACGCUGAUGCUCGAAAGUGUGGGUAUCAAACAGGAUUAGAUACCCUGGUAGUCCACACAGUAAACGAUGAAUACUCGCUGUUUGCGAUAUACAGCAAGCGGCCAAGCGAAAGCAUUAAGUAUUCCACCUGGGGAGUACGCCGGCAACGGUGAAACUCAAAGGAAUUGACGGGGGCCCGCACAAGCGGAGGAACAUGUGGUUUAAUUCGAUGAUACGCGAGGAACCUUACCCGGGCUUAAAUUGCAAAUGAAUAUAGUGGAAACAUUAUAGCCGCAAGGCAUUUGUGAAGGUGCUGCA